rnacentral:rRNA from 1 species
CCUACGGGAGGCAACAGUCGAGAAUCAUUCACAAUGGGGGAAACCCUGAUGGUGCGACGCCGCGUGGGGGAAUGAAGGUCUUCGGAUUGUAAACCCCUGUCAUGUGGGAGCAAAUUAAAAAGAUAGUACCACUAGAGGAAGAGACGGCUAACUCUGUGCCAGCAGCCGCGGUAAUACAGAGGUCUCAAGCGUUGUUCGGAAUCACUGGGCGUAAAGCGUGCGUAGGCUGUUUCGUAAGUCGUGUGUGAAAGGCGCGGGCUCAACCCGCGGACGGCACAUGAUACUGCGAGACUAGAGUAAUGGAGGGGGAACCGGAAUUCUCGGUGUAGCAGUGAAAUGCGUAGAUAUCGAGAGGAACACUCGUGGCGAAGGCGGGUUCCUGGACAUUAACUGACGCUGAGGCACGAAGGCCAGGGGAGCGAAAGGGAUUAGAUACCCCGGUAGUC